GGAAAUGUGGCUUAGUGGUAGAGUGCUUGCCUAGCAUGCAUGAGAAGCCCUGGGUUCAAUUCCUCAGUACCA
rnacentral:tRNA from 1 species